CAUACACUUCUCUCCUGCUUAAAAAAGACGUAGUCCAUCUAUCGUUAGCUUUUCCUGCCCCCAUCUGCUCGCUCGCCCUUCGUCCGCCCGCCCGCUCCUGUACGUCGACAGAUGGGUCGUACGUGCCGCUCCAUCUCCCUCCCGGCCUUCCUCGGCAGCUUUGCUCCCCAAAUCACACACUGCUCUCCUCAUUCCUCGCCAACUACUCGAAGUGCCCGCGCCUUCCUCUCCGUGCCGCUUCCCCAGCCACUACGGUUGCCUCCUCCUCCCUUCCUCCCUGCACUGCCUCCCCCGGCCACACCCCCGCCCGCGCACACACCUCCGCCUUGCUGCCUGCCACGCCGAUACCCUCCUCCCAUCCUCUGUCGCCUCAUCCUCAUCCUCCUCUGCCGCCUGCCACAUCGACACCCUCCUCCCCUCCUCUACCACGCAAUCAAGAAGGUGGACGAGCUACAGUCGAGGAGUUUGACGUUGUCACCGUGGGCAAUAGUAGCCUGGAUCCGCACGCAGUGGUGUCGAUCUAGGCGGCAGCAACCUAGAUCCGUGCUCCAAUACAUUGAUCUAGGGUGUGGUGGAUCUAUCCUUCUCUUGAUCGCCAGUGGCCCGCUCGUUGAAUUGAGGGAGAGGGAAGGGUGACAGUGGCCCACUUGGGGAGCUCGCCAGCGGCAAAAGGCGUCGCGGCUGGGCUCAGGACCGGCACCACGAGCAUCACGGUAUCAAUUGUUGCGUCUCCAGCGCUCCCGCUCCACAGCACGCGCGCCAUGGAUGCGAUCGGCAUCAAUUGUCUUUCGAUCCGCGACUCCAGCGUACUCCCGCUCUGCAGCACGCGCGCCAUGAUGCGACCGUGGAAGGAAAUAUCCAGGGUUCAGUUUCAUCUACGGUUGACGAUGAACUCAUUCGUUGAUAUGGCCCUUGAGCUUUGAGUCGUUCUUGAUGUUGAAGCAGAGGACAUGAUGUGGCCGUGAGCUAGGGUGGCGUGGGGUCGACGAGGUUGGAAAACGAUCCAACUCCAUCAUGCACUCCGGCACCAUCCCCAUUAAGGGUAUAUCUGCUUUAUAUAUCCCAUGUUAUUUUCACCAUAAUUCACAUUAUACCUCUGUAGAAGCAUGGAUGAAAGCUAAGGUAUGCUUCUGUGAUUUUAGUUUUUUUGUUGUAUAAUCAUGUCCCUUUUUCUGUCCUGUGUAGAUACUUGCACAUAUUUCUGCUCUGCUAAACAAUAAUUUCCUUCUAUGUAGCGGCAGUAACAACAAACCCUUUGCACUGAUUAAAAGUGUCAAAAGUUGCAAGCAUAUUCUGAUAAUUAGAGAAGAGCAAUGCACCCUCCACAUGUUCUCUUGUCCCUUAACAGUUGAAGUACUGCCCCCUAAGAUAGAAGUCAUGAUCCCAUUGGUGAAGUAGACCUUGAUUCUGUCAUUCCUUAUAUAGUCCGUCAUCAUAAUAUUUGGUUAUGUGUUUCAGUCACAGAAAUGGCAUGAUAAUUGAACUGGGCAUUCAGUUGUCAAGUCUUGCAGAGCUUAUAAGCAGCAUGUUAGAAGAGGUGCCAGACAGGUCCACUGCAAGGAGUCCUGCAAUGGGGGAAAUUGAUAAGGUAGAGCCUUCAAGCAUGUCUAAGGGCUGGGAUUUCAGCAGGCAGAUUGAUGAGAACUGUCAUAUGCUAACUGAAUGCUGGGAUGUUCAUAUAUCAUUUGGAGAUAAACAUGUAGUGAGACGUUCUUAAUAGAGCCUGCAAAAAAUGCAUAGAUGAAAACCUUAAAUAUUGGCACCUAACUUUAUGUCCUUUGACGAACCUAAGGAUAGGAUACAUGGUUCAGCAGUCGGCACAUAUUUUUUAUAUUGUGAUUCUUAGCAUGUCAGGGUAAUUAUUUUUCAUGUAUUUUAUCCAGUCAAUAAUAUUAUUUUGUGUAAAUUUUUAACUCCCAUUACAACGCACAAACAUUUAACUAUAUUAACAAAUACAGUGUGUGCACUGAA